UACAAUGGCCAUGAUUUACUUGAUCUUGAUUAUCUAAAUGGAUAACUGUGGAAAAGCUAGAGCUAAUACAUGCACCAAAGCUUUGUCCUCUCGGAAAAGCGCAUUUAUUAGUUUUGAACGCAUAUGGCUGCAUUGGGGUCAAACUCUUUGCAACGUCUGGUUCAGGGUCAUUUUCUCUUAUAGCGGAAGCUUUAAUUUAUAUAAUGAUGUUGUUGCUUUAUGUUUUAAAAGGAUUUUGGUUUAUUCUCAUGUAUUAAAAUAACUGCGAAAAUCAAACAAUUUUGACCUGAACUCAGUCGAGAGCACCCGCUGAACUUAAGCAUAUCAGUAAGCGUAGGAAAAGAAACUAAACAGGAUUCCCUCAGUAACGGCGAGUGAAAAGGGAAAUGUCCAUCGCUAAAUCAUUUUGCCUCAGGCAUUAUGAGGUGUAGCGUAUAAGCCGUAAUCUUUGAUCUUUUGUCUCAAACAAGUCCCCUUGACAGAGGUUCCACAGAAGGUGCAAGUCCUGUACGUUGAGAUAAUUGACUAUUCCUGAGCAGGACGAAGCCAGAGGAAACUCUGGUGGAAGUCCGAAGCGGUUCUGACGUGCAAAUCGAUCGUCUGACUUGGGUAUAGGGGCGAAAGACUAAUCGAACCAUCUAGUAGCUGGUUCCCUCUGAAGUUUCCCCCAGGAUAGCUGGAGCUCACGCGUAGUUAUACUCGGUAAAGCGAAUGAUUAGAGGACUUGGGAACGAAAUGUUCUUAACCUAUUCUCAAACUCUAAAUGGGUAUGAUGUCAAAGUUGCUUGAUUAUGAACUUUGGCGUUGAAUACGAGCUCCAAGUGGGCCAUUUUUGGUAAGCAGAACUGGCGAUGUGGGAUGAACCAAACGCGGAGUUGCGGUGCCAAAGUACCCGCUCAUUAGACCCCAUAAAAGGUGUUGGUUGAUAAAGACAGCAGGACGGUGGCCAUGGAAGUCGGAAUCCGCUAAGGAGUGUGUAACAACUCACCUGCCGAAUCAACUAGCCCUGAAAAUGGAUGGCGCUGGAGCGGGUCACCUAUACUCUGCCGUCAUAUGCUUGUAUUUUCUGUGAAAAGUCUUGCAAUGACGUGUAAGAGGGUCGUAGUGGUUGCGUUGAAGGCUUUGGGUGUGCACCCAGCUGGAGCUUCCACUAGUGCAGAUCUUGGUGGUAGUAGCAAAUAUUCAAGUGAGAUCCUUGAAGACUGAAGUGGAGAAGGGUUCCACGUGAACAGUAGUUGAAUGUGGGUCAGUCGAUCCUAAGGCACCGGCUAAAGCCGUCUAGACACUGCGGGGAGAUGAGAUACUUAACGGUAUUUUGUCUACCUGGUUGCCGAAAGGGAAGUGGGUUAAUAUUCCCACACCAGGCAUGGGAGAUGGUGAUCCGCGAGGAUUACUUUGCGCGGUGACGCAAACGAACUCGCAGACCUCGUGUGGAGUCCGGGCCAGAGUUCUCUUUUCUGGUUUAGAAAUCAUGUCCCUGGAAGUGGCUCAGCCUGAGAUAGGGAUGCUGGUCUCGUAAAGCGCAGCGGUUCCUGUUGUGUCCCGUGUGCUCCACAUGAGCCGUGAAAAUGCGAGGGAGGCAAUUUAAAAUCUCCUGCCUGAUCGUACCCAUAUCCGCAGCAGGUCUCCAAGGUGAACAGCCUCUAGUCGAUAGAAUAAUGUAGGUAAGGGAAGUCGGCAAAUUAGAUUCGUAACUUCGGGAAAAGAAUUGGCUCUAAAGGUUGAGUCAGUCGGGCUGUUGUGUGAAACAGGUGGACUUUGCUCGUGGCUGCUUGAGCUUCCUUACGGGGCGGCGCUUGUGGACUAGUAGUGAGGACUGCUUGUGGAGUGCUUCAGCUGCGUGCUAUUUCGCAAGAUAUAGUACUUCGAUUGGCGCUGAACAACCAGUUUAGAACUGGCACGAACUCCGGGAAUCCGACUGUCUAAUUAAAACAGAGGAGACGGAUGGUCCUUGCAGGACGUUGACCGUGUCUGAUUUCUGCCCAGUGCUCUGAAUGUUAAGCCAAGGAAACUUGAUUAAGCGCGGGUAAACGGCGGGAGUAACUAUGACUCUCUUAAGGUAGCCAAAUGCCUCGUCGGCUAACUACCGACGCGCACGAAUGGAUCAACGAGAUUCCCACUGUCCCUAUCUACUAUCU
rnacentral:rRNA from 1 species